rnacentral:sRNA from 1 species
ACCGUUCUUCAGUCAAGGGUAUAUGAGCAGCUGUGCUCCCCUGCUAGAACCUCCAAACAAGCCCUCAAGACACCAUCAGAGGGAAGCGGACGUGGC